AAAGGGUAAAUUGAAAAGGGCAUUUCACCGGCCACUCAGCCGAAAGCACAAAAUGCUUGGCCGAAUCAAACAAUAUAACACAAGGCCUCUUCGAAUCCCACCGGCUGGGCCCUCUCUCCUUAUAUACCCAUCUCUCUCUCUCUCUCACCCUUCUCUCUAUCCUCUCUCUGUCUAGCUGUCCUCUCUCUCUCUCUGUGCAGACAGAGAGAGAGAAGGAAGAGAAGGAAAUUAGUACUACUACUGGUGGGGUUGGGGCAUAUAGCGCCAAAGUCAGAAAUGGCUCUAGGUGGACAAGCACUUCUUCUCUUUCCCAACCACCCAUUGUUUCUUAUACGCAAUGACCCAAUUGCUCUUGCAAAAGAAAGAUGCACGUUUCUGACAUUACCUUGUAAAUCCUCAAAGGUCAUUUUCGUGCUGUUUAAAGGUGAAAGGAGUCCAAUGUGAGUCUCUAGCUGUGUGUAGAGCUACAACAAUCCUUAAUAGUGAUGAGGCAGACAGGAUGGAGCCAGGCAAUUCUAGUUAUAAUUCCGUUCCUUCCAUUCGCUAGCUAGUUAUCGAAUAUUGAUGCCGCAUGUGAAGCAAUAACUUCAAAAACCUUUAUAUGAACAAAGCAUGCAUGCAUCACUUUAUCAAAUAUGAGGCCGGUCCGCCGAAAGAGCUGAGAUCCCCAGCUAGUUAAAGUUAUGCUUAUUUACUUCAAGUGGCGGCCAGGCUCUGGACAAGUUCAAUAGGUCAUCAUUACAGGCACAAUGGGUAUGAGGCUGGAUGUAUUUCUGAAAUGUCGUAUAUAGAUCGAGGAACAAUAUUUGGCCAGCCGCUAUAUAUGAAAGUUCUACAAACUACAAUCUUAUCACCUUGUAA